GCCGGGCGUGGUGGCGCACGCCUGUAAUCCCAGCACUUGGGAGGCUGAGGCAGGAGGAUCGCUUGAGUUCGAGACAGGCCUGGGCUACAUAGUGAGUUCCAGGUCAGCCUCAACUACAUAGUGAGACCUUGUCUCAA
rnacentral:SRP_RNA from 1 species